rnacentral:rRNA from 1 species
UGAGUAACCUGCCCUUCACUCUGGGAUAACUCCGGGAAACCGGGGCUAAUACUGGAUAUGACUCGAACAGGCAUCUGUUUCGGGUGGAAAGAUUUAUUGGUGGAAGAUGGACUCGCGGCCUAUCAGCUUGUUGGUGAGGUAAUGGCUCACCAAGGCGACGACGGGUAGCCGGCCUGAGAGGGCGAUCGGCCACACUGGGACUGAGACACGGCCCAGACUCCUACGGGAGCA